CCCCUCUCAGGGUCACACCUGAAGAGUUUCCAGUACUCUACCAGUCUCAGCUAUGGGAGGGAGAGUCAAGCAGAGGCCUAUCCAUUCCAUUCCUAGCUUGGGCAGUGGCUAGCCAGUGGAAAACAAUCUGCUACAAGA